rnacentral:rRNA from 1 species
GACGAACGCUGGCGGCGCUGCUUAACACAUGCUAGUCAAACGAUGAAACCUAGCUUGCUAGGUGGAUUAGUGGCGAACGGGUGAGUAAUACGUGAGUAACCUACCUUUAACUCUGGGAUAAGCCUGGGAAACUGGGUCUAAUACCGGAUACGACCAAUCUCCGCAUGGGGUGUUGGUGGAAAGCGUUAUGUAUUGGUUAUAGAUGGGCUCACGGCCUAUCAUCUUGUUGGUGAGGUAACGGCUCACCAGGGCGACCACUGGUAGCCGGCCUGAGAGGGUGACCGGCCACACUGGGACUGAGACACUGUCCAGACUCCUACUGGAGGCAGCAGUGGGGAAUAUUGCACAAUGGGCGCAAGCCUGAUGCACCGACUCCGCGUGAGGGAUGACGAGGCUUCGAGUUGUAAACGUCUGUUAGCAUGGAACAAGAUAGAUUGACUGUACCUGCACAUAAAGCGCCGGCUAACUACGUGCCAGCAGCCUCGGCAAUACGUAGGGCGCGAGCGUUGUCCGGAAUUAUUGGGCGUAAAGAGCUUGUAGGCGGUUUGUCGCGUCUGCUGUGAAAGGCCGGAGCUUAACUCCGUGUAUUGCAGUGGGUACGGGCAGACUAGAGUGCAGUAGGGGAGACUGGAAUUCCUGGUGUAGCGGUGGAAUGCGCAGAUAUCAGGAGGAACACCGAUGGCGAAGGCAGGUCUCUGGGCUGUAACUGACGCUGAGAAGCGAAAGCAUGGGGAGCGAACAGGAUUAGAUACCCUGGUAGUCCAUGCCGUAAACGUUGGGCACUAGGUGUGGGGAACAUUCCACGUUUUCCGCGCCGUAGCUAACGCAUUAAGUGCCCCGCCUGGGGAGUACGGCCGCAAGGCUAAAACUCAAAGAAAUUGACGGGGGCCCGCACAAGCGGCGGAGCAUGCGGAUUAAUUCGAUGCAACGCGAAGAACCUUACCAAGGCUUGACAUAUACUGGACCGCAUCAGAGAUGGUGUUUCCCUUCGGGGCUGGUAUACAGGUGGUGCAUGGUUGUCGUCAGCUCGUGUCGUGAGAUGUUGGGUUAAGUCCCGCAACGAGCGCAACCCUCGUUCUAUGUUGCCAGCACGUUAUGGUGGGGACUCAUAGGAGACUGCCGGGGUCAACUCGGAGGAAGGUGGGGAUGACGUCAAAUCAUCAUGCCCCUUAUGUCUUGGGCUUCACGCAUGCUACAAUGGCCGGUACAGAGGGUUGCGAUACUGUGAGGUGGAGUUAAUCCCUAAAAGCCGGUCUCAGUUCGGAUUGGGGUCUGCAACUCGACCCCACGAAGUUGGAGUCGCUAGUAAUCGCAGAUCAGCAACGAUGCGGUGAAUACGUAUCCCGGUCCG